rnacentral:rRNA from 1 species
UACGUAGGGGGCAAGCGUUGUCCGGAUUUAUUGGGCGUAAAGAGCGUGUAGGCGGCCAUGUAGGUCCGUUGUGAAAACUCGAGGCUCAACCUCGAGACGCCGAUGGAAACCAUGUGGCUAGAGUACGGAAGAGGCGAGUGGAAUUCCUGGUGUAGCGGUGGAAUGCGCAGAUAUCAGGAGGAACACCAAUAGCGAAGGCAGCUCGCUGGGACGUUACUGACACUGAGGCGCGAAAGCGUGGGGAGCGAACAGG